rnacentral:rRNA from 1 species
AUUGAACGCUGGCGGCAUGCUUUACACAUGCAAGUCGAACGGUAACAGGCCGCAAGGUGCUGACGAGUGGCGAACGGGUGAGUAAUGCAUCGGAACGUGCCCAGUCGUGGGGGAUCACGCAGCGAAAGCUGCGCUAAUACCGCAUACGAUCUAUGGAUGAAAGCGGGGGACCGAAAGGCCUCGCGCGAUUGGAGCGGCCGAUGUCAGAUUAGGUAGUUGGGGGGGUAAAGGCUCACCAAGCAAACGAUCUGUAGCUGGUCUGAGAGGACGACCAGCCACACUGGGACUAAGACACGGCCCAGACUCCUACGGGAGGCAGCAGUGGGGAAUUUUGGACAAUGGGCGCAAGCCUGAUCCAGCAAUGCCGCGUGCAGGAAGAAGGCCUUCGGGUUGUAAACUGCUUUUGUACGGAACGAAACGGUCCGGGUUAAUACCCUGGGCUAAUGACGGUACCGUAAGAAUAAGCACCGGCUAACUACGUGCCAGCCGCCGCGGUAAUAC